AAGAAGACAAGCAAAACAACAGGGUGCAACGUGGGAGAGGACAUGGAUGUGGGAGGCCACCCAGAGGAAUUUGUUUUUUUUCAUUUCAGUGGGACUGUAUCAGGGCAAGAGGGGAUGUUGCUGCCAUCACCGCAGAAGAGAUGCUACAUCCUGGGCACAGUGGAGAUGUAUUUGGGAGGUGGAAUCUAGACACUGGAAUCACAGCUAUGCAUCAUAGACCACACUUGGUACCAUGUGAACCUGACCUCCAAAUGAGGCAGUCAAGGGUGGCUGUUAUUGAGUUGUGCGAGUAUAUCUGCCACCAUGGUGUUUGCUGCCACUGAGGAAUGGCCUAACUACUGCCAUGUCAGCAGUGCCACAGAGAUUUUACACCAAACAUGGGGCUCGAACUCACAACCUUGAGAUCAAGAGUCGCCCGCUGUACCAACUGAGCCAGCCAGGUGCCCCAGUGACUUUUUAAAACUGGUCUAUCUAAAUCCCACCCCUCUCAUCCUGAUCAUUACAAAGGACAUAGC